rnacentral:lncRNA from 1 species
UCGUUUUUGCUCUCUCAAGCUCUCUUCAUUAAUUUUGGUUGCUAAUUCUUCCCCCUUUAGAUUUCUGUCAACUCUCAAACCAUUUAUCUUCAAAAUAUUCCAAGAAAACACCCAAAAGUCUCACCAAUUUUAUCAUCUUCCUUGAGCGUGGGUUUCUCAAAUUUGUGUCAAAAACUUCGUUUUUCUUCCGUCAAAUGUAAUCAAUUGUUUUCCUAUUAGCUUUAAAUGUUAUCUAGUUCUUUAAACUGAAUUUUUAGCCAUUAAAAUGCAUGUUUUAGAAAAAAGCCGAAAAUCGAGUCUUUAAUAGUGAAUUUCGAGUUUGCGAAUAAAAACUUGGUUUUAAAAUGUUUUUCAAUUAGUUUUAACCUAAUUAGAAGUUUUCUAAAGUAACCUUGAAGUUUCGUCAAGCAUUUCUCGAGUUUUAAUGAAUUUUCGUUGUAAUGGUCAAAACUUGUCGAAAAUUUUUAAUACCUUAAAACGCAUAGUUUCGUGAAGUUUAAAGGUUGGGAAUUAAUUGUAGAUGAAUGGAAUUUAUUUCAUACAAAGAGAUUAAGCGUAAACUGAGUUAUUUGAAUUUUAAGUUUGUUGUACUAAAGGUGUUGGUUAGAGAAGAAUGUAGCUUAGGCUUGUGUUUGUGGCUGUUUGAGGUGAGUUACUGACUGAAUAUGUUGGUUUGUCUUAUUGAAGUGAAGGAGUCGAUAGGACCUUCAACGAGUAAAGAUAACGGCAAAGUGAAGCUUGUCUAAGCUUUCAGUUUUUCUGCAAAAGCGAAUAUUUUGGUGAGUGUUUUAGAAUAGAUGCUUAUAAGCGAUUCAUUGUGUAUUUAGAAAUUUAGAGGUAGCCUAAACCCCUUCUCUAAAUUCCGAUUGUAAGUGUUCUUUUACCUAUGCUAAAUGUGUGAUAAAUAUGUUUGUGAAUUGUGAUAAAGAGGAUUAUAAUAUGAUGAAAUGUGAACAUGUUGGGAUGAAUGUUAUGACAGUAAAUACGAGGCUAUGUUAUUCAUGCCAUGUGACAGUGUGUAUAAUAUGCUAAUGAUAUGAUUAUGCGAACAAUCGGUAAGUAAUAUUUGAUGCCAUUAUGGAUAUUUUGGCCUUAUGAUUUAAUGAAACCAUUGGAUAUAGUUGGCAUGCUAUAGGAUUGUCAGUACUUACUUAUUUGUGAUUGUGAUAUAUGGGGAGCUAAGGCCCAGAGACAGUUGGAGAGAUAAAGGAGUGUGAGCCAAGCUCCAUUCACUGGGAUAUAUAUGUGUGGUGUGUUGGAGAGUGUUAACUAUAUGCUUCGCUUAAGGGAUAUGUUUGACUCUAUGAGUUUAUGUGUGGUGUGUUUAAGAUCCGUGUAUUUUAUGUGUAGUGAUAGAGUCCACUUUAUAUUUCAUAAACUCAAGAGUCAAAUUAUCAUACUCUGUAACUAAUGUGACUACAUGUAAUUAUAUGUGCUUAUAUAUGAUUGAUGUGUAACGAAAAAUUGAUAUAUGUAUGCCUAAACGUUCGUCUAAAUAAAAUGUAAAAGAAUACAUGGAAUAUGACUAAAUAUGUGAAUCAUGUCACUUAGUUAAUGAUGUUUUGGGAUUAAUCUAUAUGUUGUUUGAUUGGUGCAUGACAAAUUGUUUACGUAAUGGUUGUUCUAGGCAUUCAUUGAGCUUGUCAAGCUCACCGACUCCAUUUUAUCCUUUGCAAAGUAGUUGCGUUCUUGGUGUGAGAGGUGUGGUCAUCGAGGAUUGAUCUAAGCCAUUCUUUACUCUUUACCUAGAUGUUUUGCUUAUUCUAGUUCGAGGGAAUAAAAAGGAAAUGUGGUAGACAUUUAUAUCGGUUUAUUAAGACGUAUUGGGGAUUACUUGUAUAUUGCAUAUGUUUAGGAAGCUUGUGAACUUGGACAUAGUGUUUGGUUUAUUGUUUAGACAUUUUGAUGCAUAUGUGACUAGGUAAAUGAAGCACAAUGUUUAGGGACUAAGUUUGAAUGAUUUAAAUGCUCUUAUAUGCUGAAUUUUUGUACCUAGAAGCAGCGGUAUCGAUAUUAAUGCUUUUAGAAUGAUACCUAUGUAUUUUCAAAAGUGCAGGGAAUCAAAAUAUCAAUUUGGUAUCGAUACCUUAGCCUAAGUAUCGAUACUCGUGGUGUAAUUAUUAAUACCUUACGAAAGGUACCGAUAUUUUUUGAUGUUUUGAAAUUUGCUGAGAAUCAGAAUGCAAGUUUGGUAUCGAUUUUCUAGGUGGUAUCGAUACCACUUAAAGGAAAUAUCGAUGCCAUAGAGAUGGUACCGAUACCUACGUAACAUUUUUGGGAAAAUUUGCAAAGUGGUCCCAAUUGUAACGAUUGCAUGAAAAUUUUGGUGAAUUUAUUUUAGGGAUUGCAUGCUUAAUUGCGGACAAGAACUAAAUCGCAUAAAGUGCAAAAGUCUCAUUUUGAUAGCUAAGGGUGUUAAUUUGCCGUGAAUCUUAAUUUGGAGGUCUUUAAAGGACAAUUAGGUUAAUUUUAGAAGGGUGACAGGGCAUAGGGGACAAGUUGGUCAAAAAGUCAAAAGUCUAGGUGGUUUGGUGAAUUAAUUGAAUAAAAUAAAACAAAAUGACUUCAUCUUUUCAUUCUCUUCUCCUACCAUCGAAAUUUUCAGCCAUUAGAGGGGUUUUUGAGCUUCAAAAUUUCAGCAACUUUAAACCUUUGCAAGUAAGGGAUCUUGAUGACUUUUCUUAAAUAUUUUUGUACUUUUAAGACCUUUUUAGUAUGAGCUUUCUAAUGGGGGGACUAUUUUGCAAGAUGGUUAAAAGUCUAGGAUUUUUCCAUGAGAGCAUUUAGGUUGUUUGUUGAAUUUUUAUGGAAGAAAAUGAGUCUUGGAUAGGUAAUAAACAACUUUUGUGAGGAAGUUUUUAUGGAAACCCUAACUAAGGACCAUUUUGCAUAAGUUGUAAAAUAGGUGAUAAAUGUAUGAAAUAAUGAAAAUUAUAGACUUCUUCUAGUAUAAAAAUUAUUCGGCUAGGCUUGAUUAGUGAGAAAAUAUGAUUAAAAUCGAAUUGCGAGCCUAGGGGUAAAAUGAUCAUUUUGUGAAAGCCUAGGGGCAAAAUGGUCAUUUUGCCCAAUUAUAAAUUUUGAGUAUCUAGAUUUAUAUGCUGAUGAAAUGAAUGAAUUUUAUUAAUAUAGAUCAAGAGAAGCGUGAUUCGGGUCUUGAUCGGGAUAAGAACAAAGUUUAUGAGGAUUAAGCUCGUUCCCAUUAUUUUGUACCGAGGCAAGUACAUAUGCAAAUAACGUGUCAUUGUUGCUUACUUUUAAAUGUUUUAUUUUUACCAUGUAUCAUAAAUUUUACUCAAUGUCAUAAAAGUAUAAAUAAUGCGAGGUAAGAGCAAUCUACAUUAUGAACAAGUGCAACAACGUCAAGUUAGAUACGAGAUCCCGUUGAACCUCGAAAAUAAUAUAGGAUAUAAAAAGGUAAGUCAUGAGAAAUUGAGUGGUCUGAACUCAUUAGUUGAGUCUGAGUUCAUGAGAAAAGUGAAAUAUGCAAUGUGGGUCCAAUUACUGACUUUAUGUGCAGACCCGUGAGUAGCUCAAUGAGCGGGCAUUACAUGAUAGAGCUAUGGGUCCAGGUACUGACUUGGUGAAAAGGCCUGUAAAUAGCUCAAAUAUGCAAGUAUUACAAAGUACGAGAUAGCGUUGGUUACUUGUAUAGUACUUAGGAGCAAACAAUCCGUGUAUUCAUUGGUAUUUCUGAGUGUUCAAAGGGGUAACUCGAUAAAUGGAUUGGCGAUACUUCUAGUGAGGUAUGUCAAUAGAGAGAAUGAAUUUGAGUUAUUUUACAGGUAAUUGCAGGUAUGUAUACUAAACUUCCAAAUGAAGACCUUAGUAUGUGAUGAGAUGUAGUAAGUAUGCAUAGAAUAAGUGAAGAGUAAGAUAGUGAGAUUAAAAUGAUAUAUCAUUUAAGUAUGAUAAACCACGGUUUGAUGAAUGUAUUUCUAAUUACACUUAUUUACAUAUAUGUACUUACUAAGCUCCCAUGCUUACCCUAUUUCCUUUCAAUUAUCUUAUAGUGCCGCUGAAGUAGAUCGAGGAUCGUCGACUACGUAGUUGAAGCCAGUCACACUAUCCUUGAAGCACUUGGUAUAACUAGUUUUAUCUUUUGAUUAUGGCAUGUAUAGGAACCUUUGAUUUUAUUUUUGUGUCACAUUGUUUUGGGGCUAAAGGUAUUGGCUUGUUUUAACAUUUGACUCAUUUUGUAUAAGGCUAGGGAAAAUGGCUAAUAUUGUAAGUUAUUAUAUGGAUGCAAGAUAGUCUUUUA